CCAAGGAGUCUAACAUGUGCGCGAGUCGUCGAGUUGUACCAAACUCGAAGGCGAAAUGAAAGUAAAGGCUCGGUUUCCGAGCUGAGGGGAGAUCCCGUUCUGCUUCUGUAGCGCGGGCGCAUCCCCGGGGCGUCUAUACUGCGUUGCCAGUGAGACGAACCUAGAGCGUACACGUUGGGACCCGAAAGAUGGUGACCUAUGCCUGGCCAGGACGAAGCCAGGGGAAACCCUGGUGGAGGUCCGCAGCGAUUCUGACGUGCAAAUCGAUCGUCGGAGUUGGGUAUAGGGGCGAAAGACUAAUCGAACCAUCUAGUAGCUGGUUCCCCCCGAGUUUCCUCAGGAUAGCUGGUGCUCGCAACAAGACACGGAGUUUCAUCCGGUAAAGCGAAUGAUUAGAGGCCUUGGGGUCGAAACGACCUCAACCUAUUCUCAAACUUUCAAUGGGUGAGAAGCCCGGCUUAGCCUAAGCGAAGCCGUGGCAGUCGAAUCCGAGCGCCCAGUGGGCCACUUUUGGUAAGCAGAACUGGCGCUGUGGGAUGAACCAAACGUCUGGUUAAGGCGCCCAAACAACGCACAUUCCGGAACCCACAAAAGGAGUUGGUUGCUAAAGACAGCAGGACGGUGGCCAUGGAGGUCGGAACCCGCUCAGGAGUGUGUAACAACUCACCUGCCGAAGCAACUAGCCCUUAAAAUGGGAGGCGCUAUAGCGUUGUGCCUAUACCAGACCGCCGGUGGCAGAGCCUGCCCCCUGUAAAGGGGUGCACUGAGGCCCCGGUGAGUAGGGGGGUCGCCGCGGUGAGCGUAGAAGGGUCUGGGCGUAAGCCUGCCUGGAGCCGCCGCUGGUGCAGAUCUUGGUGGUAGUAGCAAAUACUCCAGAGA
rnacentral:rRNA from 1 species